AGUGAACGCUGGCGGUAGGCCUAACACAUGCAAGUCGAACGGCAGCACAGUAAGAGCUUGCUCUUACGGGUGGCGAGUGGCGGACGGGUGAGGAAUACAACGGCAUCCACUCUUUCGUGGGGGAUAACGUAGGGAAACCUACGCUAAUACAGCAUACGCCCCACGGGUGAAAGCAGGGGAUCUUCGGACCUUGUGCGAUUGAACGCGCCGAUGACGGGUUUGCUAGUUGGCGGGGUAAUGGCCGACCAAGGCGACGAUCCGUAGCCGGUCGGAGAGGAGGGUCGGCCACAUGGGAGCGGAGACAGGGUCAAGGCUCCUACGGGAGGCAGCAGUGGGGAAUAUGGGACAAUGGGCGGAAGCCUGGUCCAGCCAGACCGCGUGGGUGAAGGAGGCCUUCGGGGUGGAAAGCCCUUUUGUUGGGAAAGAAAAGCUGCAGGUUGAUACGCCGCUGUUGUGACGGUACCCAGAGAAUAAGCACCGGCUAACUACGUG
rnacentral:rRNA from 1 species